rnacentral:rRNA from 1 species
GCAAGUCGAGCGCGAAAGUUCUUCGGAACGAGUAGAGCGGCGGACGGGUGAGUAACGCGUAGGAAUCUACCUGGUAGUGGGGGACAACUUGGGGAAACCCAAGCUAAUACCGCAUACGCCCCACGGGGGAAAGUGAGGGACCUUCGGGCCUCGCGCUAUCAGAUGAGCCUGCGUAGGAUUAGCUUGUUGGUGAGGUAAAGGCUCACCAAGGCGACGAUCCUUAGCUGGUCUGAGAGGAUGAUC